GAUGAACGCUGGCGGCGUGCUUAACACAUGCAAGUCGAACGAAGCACUUUACCUGAUUUCCUUCGGGGAUGAUUGUUCUGUGACUGAGUGGCGGACGGGUGAGUAACGCGUGGAUAACCUGCCUCACACAGGGGGAUAACAGUUGGAAACGACUGCUAAUACCGCGUAAGCGCACAGUACCGCAUGGUACAGUGUGAAAAACUCCGGUGGUGUGAGAUGGAUCCGCGUCUGAUUAGCUUGUCGGCGGGGUAACGGCCCACCAAGGCGACGAUCGGGAGCCGGCCUGAGAGGGCGACCGGCCACAUUGGGACUGGGACACGGCCCAGACUCCUACGGGAGGCAGCAGUGGGGAAUAUUGCACAAUGGGGGAAACCCUGAUGCAGCGACGCCGCGUGAGCGAUGAAGUAUUUCGGUAUGUAAAGCUCUAUCAGCAGGGAAGAUAAUGACGGUACCUGACUAAGAAGCUCCGGCUAAAUACGUGCCAGCCGCCGCCGUAA
rnacentral:rRNA from 1 species